GACGAACGCUGGCGGCGUGCUUAACACAUGAAAGUCGAACGAAGUGGCGAACGGGUGAGUAACGCGUAAUCAACCUGCCCUUCAGAGGGGGAAAACAGUUGGACACGACUGCUAAUACCGCAUACUGAAGGCGGAGAUUGCGUCCGAUUAGCUAGUUGGAGGGGUAACGGCCCACAAAGGCGAUGAUCAGUAGCCGGGCGGAGAGGAUGAACGGCAACAUUGGGACGGAGACACGGCCCAGACGCCUACGGGAGGCAGCAGUGGGGAAUAUUGCACAAUGGGCGAAAGCCUGAUGCAGCCAUGCCGCGUGUCUGAAGAAGGCCUUCGGGUUGUAAAGGACUUUUGUCAGGGAAGCGGUACCUGAAGAAUAAGCACCGGCUAACUACGUGCCAGCAGCCGCGGUAAUAC
rnacentral:rRNA from 1 species